UUUUUUUUUUUUUCUUUGGAGAAAUUAUAGGGAGUUAGUUUUGUUGUUGUUUAAUUGAGUUCUUCAUUCAGAUCAUAAGAACGUAAAGAAGGAACGUAACUUAUGUGUAAUGUUUAACUUUUUCCCCUAUUUCUUAAUUUCGCUCCUUUUAUAGUUGAAAUAUCUUUCUUGACAAAUAUAUUUUUGUGAAAUUAAAAGAGUUGAAAUUUGAAAAAGGAAUUUAUCAUUAAACCACUAAGUGCGAUUUUGCUCCCCAUGGAAGUUGAAUUCAAAGUUUAGUUUUUUGGGUCUAGUAUCUGGAAAAUAUUUACACAGAUUAAUUUGAAGUUAUACAGACUUGUAAUUACUAGAAAAUUUUCAAUGUGAAAACAAUUUCUUUUUAUAGUUUUUCUUAGUUUAAAAGUCAAACCCAAAGUUUAAUUCCAUAGCCUUAAGUUCCUUGCUAUUGAAAUAUUAAUUCAAUGAGUGUUUUUUGUAUCAUUUCAUUGGUAAUGAAUUGUAUCAGAGGGUACCAAAUUUCAUUGGAGG
rnacentral:misc_RNA from 1 species